AGUGAACGCUGGCGGUAGGCCUAACACAUGCAAGUCGAACGGCAGCACAGUAAGAGCUUGCUCUUACGGGUGGCGAGUGGCGGUCGGGUGAGGAAUACAUCGGAAUCUACUUUUUCGUGGGGGAUAACGUAGGGAAACUUACGCUAAUACCGCAUACGCCCUACGGGUGAAAGCAGGGGAUCUUCGGACCUUGCGCGAUUGAAUGAGCCGAUGUCGGAUUAGCUAGUUGGCGGGGUAAAGGCCCACCAAGGCGACGAUCCGUAGCUGGUCUGAGAGGAUGAUCAGCCACACUGGAACUGAGACACGGUCCAGACUCCUACGGGAGGCAGCAGUGGGGAAUAUUGGACAAUGGGCGCAAGCCUGAUCCAGCCAUACCGCGUGGGUGAAGAAGGCCUUCGGGUUGUAAAGCCCUUUUGUUGGGAAAGAAAAGCAGCAGGUUAAUACCCCGCUGUUCUGACGGUACCCAAAGAAUAAGCACCGGCUAACUUCGUG
rnacentral:rRNA from 1 species